AUUGAACGCUGGCGGCAUGCUUUACACAUGCAAGUCGAACGGCAGCGCGGGCUUCGGCCUGGCGGCGAGUGGCGAACGGGUGAGUAAUGCAUCGGAACGUGCCCAGUAGUGGGGGAUAGCCCGGCGAAAGCCGGAUUAAUACCGCAUACGACCUGAGGGUGAAAGCGGGGGACCGAAAGGCCUCGCGCUAUUGGAGCGGCCGAUGUCGGAUUAGCUAGUUGGUGGGGUAAAGGCUUACCAAGGCGACGAUCCGUAGCUGGUCUGAGAGGACGACCAGCCACACUGGGACUGAGACACGGCCCAGACUCCUACGGGAGGCAGCAGUGGGGAAUGUUGGACAAUGGGGGCAAGCCUGAUCCAGCCAUGCCGCGUGCGGGAAGAAGGCCUUCGGGUUGUAAACCGCUUUUGUUCGGGAAGAAAUCCUCUGGGCUAAUACCCCGGGGGGAUGACGGUACCGGAAGAAUAAGCACCGGCUAACUACGUG
rnacentral:rRNA from 1 species